UACCAGCACCCCGAGUGGUCGGGACGAUUAUUGGGCCUAAAGCAUCCGUAGCCGGUUCUGCAAGUCCCCCGUUAAAUCCAGCUGCUCAACAGAUGGGCCGCGGAGGAUACUCCAGAGCUAGGAGGCAGGAGAGGCAAGCGGUACUCAGUGGGUAGGGGUAAAAUCCGUUGAUCCAUUGAAGACCACCAGUGGCGAAGGCGGCUUGCCAGAAUGCGCUCGACGGUGAGGGAUGAAAGCUGGGGGAGCAAC
rnacentral:rRNA from 1 species